AAUAUUGGACAAUGGGCGAAAGCCUGAUCCAGCCAUGCCGCGUGAGUGAAGAAGGUUAUCGGCUUGUAAAGCACUUUAGGGUGGUGAUAAGUGGAGCACGUGAAUACCCUGCGCGGUGUAGGGUACCGUCACCAUAAGCACCGGCUAACUACGUGCCAGCAGCCGCGGUAAUACGAAGGGUGCCAGCGUUAAUCGGAAUUACUGGGCCUAAAGCUCUCGCAGGCGGUUCAUUAAGAUAGAUGUGAAAGCCCCGGGCUCAACCUGGGAACUGCAUCCACAACUGGCGAGCUAGAGUACGGUAGAGGGUGGUGGAAUUGCCCGUGUAGCAGUGAAAUGCGUAGAGAUAGGAAGGAAAACCAAUGGCGAAGGCGACCACCUGGACUGAUACUGACGCUCAGGUACGAAAGCGUGGGGAGCAAACAGG
rnacentral:rRNA from 1 species